GGGCCUGUAGGGUAGCUUGGUCCAUCCUUUUAGCUUUGGGAGCUAGAGACUCCGAUUCAAAUUCGGACAGGCCCAC
rnacentral:tRNA from 1 species